GCGCCCGUGGCGGAAUUGGCAGACGCGCAGGAUUUAGGUUCCUGUGCCCGAGGGCGUGGGGGUUCAAGUCCCCCCGGGCGCACGA
rnacentral:tRNA from 1 species